rnacentral:rRNA from 1 species
GGGGAAUAUUGGGCAAUGGGCGAAAGCCUGACGCAGCGACGCCGCGUGGGGGAUGAAGGCCUUCGGGUUGUAAACCUCUUUCGGCAGGGACGAAACUGACGUGUACCUGCAGAAGAAGCGCCGGCUAACUACGUGCCAGCAGCCGCGGUAAUACGUAGGGCGCGAGCGUUGUCCGGAAUUAUUGGGCGUAAAGAGCUCGUAGGCGGCCGGUCGCGUCUGCCGUGAAAGCCCACGGCUCAACCGUGGGACUGCGGUGGAUACGGGCCGGCUAGAGGCAGGCAGGGGCAAGUGGAAUUCCUGGUGUAGCGGUGAAAUGCGCAGAUAUCAGGAGGAACACCGGUGGCGAAGGCGGCUUGCUGGGCCUGUCCUGACGCUGAGGAGCGAAAGCGUGGGGAGCGAAC